UACGUAGGGUGCGAGCGUUAAUCGGAAUUACUGGGCGUAAAGUGUGCGCAGGCGGCUUCGCAAGUCGAGUGUGAAAUCCCCGAGCUUAACUUGGGAAUUGCGCUCGAAACUACGGAGCUGGAGUGUGGCAGAGGAAGGUGGAAUUCCACGUGUGCGGUGAAAUGCGUAGAGAUGUGGAGGAACACCGAUGGCGAAGGCAGCCUUCUGGGCCACACUGACGCUCAUGCACGAAAGCGUGGGAGCAACAGG
rnacentral:rRNA from 1 species